AACGAACGCUGGCGGCAUGCCUAACACAUGCAAGUCGAACGAGACCUUCGGGUCUAGUGGCGCACGGGUGCGUAACGCGUGGGAACCUGCCCUUAGGUUCGGAAUAACUCCCCGAAAGGGGUGCUAAUACCGGAUAAUGUCUUCGGACCAAAGAUUUAUCGCCUUUGGAUGGGCCCGCGUUGGAUUAGCUAGUUGGGAGGGUAAAAGCCUACCAAGGCGACGAUCCAUAGCUGGUCUGAGAGGAUGACCAGCCACACUGGGACUGAGACACGGCCCAGACUCCUACGGGAGGCAGCAGUGGGGAAUAUUGGACAAUGGGCGAAAGCCUGAUCCAGCAAUGCCGCGUGAGUGAUGAAGGCCUUAGGGUUGUAAAGCUCUUUUACCCGGGAUGAUAAUGACAGUACCGGGAGAAUAAGCUCCGGCUAACUCCGUG
rnacentral:rRNA from 1 species